rnacentral:rRNA from 1 species
CCUACGGGGGGCAGCAGUGGGGAAUAUUGCACAAUGGGGGAAACCCUGAUGCAGCGACGCCGCGUGAGUGAAGAAGUAUCUCGGUACGUAAAGCCCUAUCAGCAGGGAAGAAAAUGACGGUACCUGACUAAGAAGCCCCGGCUAACUACGUGCCAGCAGCCGCGGUAAUACGGAGGGGGCAAGCGUUAUCCGGAUUUACUGGGGGUAAAGGGAGCGUAGACGGCAGCACAAGGCUGGAGUGAAAUCCCGGGGCUUAACCCCGGAACUGCUUUGGAAACUGUGCGGCUGGAGUGCAGGAGGGGUAAGCGGAAUGCCUGGUGGAGCGGUGAAAUGCGUAGAUAUUAGGAGGAACACCGGUGGCGAAGGCGGCUUACUGGACUGUAACUGACGUUGAGGCUCGAAAGCGUGGGGAGCAAACAGGAUUAGAUACCCCUGUAGUC